AAUUAAUAUUAAUCAAUAUAACAAAAAAUAUUUUAACCAUAUGGUCCUUUCGUACUAAUAUGGAUUAAUAAUCUUAGGAUAGAAACCGACCUGGCUAACGCCGGUCUGAACUCAGAUCAUGUAAGAAUUUAAAGGUCGAACAGACCUAAUCAUUGGGCUCCUGCACCCAAAAUUUUUCUUAAUCCAACAUCGAGGUCGCAAUCUGCUUUGUCGAUAUGAGCUCUCAAAAACAAUUACGCUGUUAUCCCUAAGGUAACUUAAUCUUAUGAUCAUAAAUUAUGGAUCAAAAUAACAAACAUAAAUAAAUGAUAUAAUAAUGAAGAGUUUAUCUAUUCUUCAUGUCACCCCAACAAAACAUCAUCAUUAAAUAUAGAAAGACAAACAAGAAACUAUAUAAAAGUAAAAUGUCAAGCUCUGUAGGGUCUUCUCGUCCUAAAGAAGAAUUUAAGCCUUUUGACUCAAAAGUUAAAUUCAAAAAUUUAUUAAGAGACAGUUGAUUUCUCGUCAAGCCAUUCAUU